GUGGCAAAAGGACCUGACUGUGUAUGCCCAGUUUAAGACUGAUGCAAGGAAAUGGAGCCCUGAGGAUGAGAAGAGGAUUAGAUACAAAGAAUAAGCAAGAGUGCCAAAAACAUAGUCGAGGAAGGACCAAGGUCAGAGGCAUGCGGCUGGAAUUGGAGUCGAGGUUAGGCAGAGGUCAAGGUUGUGUGGUUGGUAACUCUAUAAACUCAAAGGAACAAUAUAUUUCUGGACAUGUUGGAGAAAAUGUGACAUUAACCUGUGAAUUCUCCACUAGCAGUGAAACUCCUUACCUUUUCUGGUAUUGCCAAUAUCCCAAUAAAAUGGAAUAUCUACUUUAUAGAGGAGCUAAGGGCUAUUCUAGCAUUACGCGUGAUGGGAAUUAUGAAAAAGGAAAGUUUGAUUCCAGUGCUGAUGAUACAUCCACUAAAUUAACCAUCUUCAGUCUGACUGUGGAAGAUUCUGCUGUGUACUUGUGUGCUCUUAGCGUUACAGCACAAUGGUGUCUGAACAUUACAGUUCAGUGUAAAAACCUUCCUCUAUAAAUUUACUAUAGAUCCAGCAGGCGGCACCGUUCUUGUACAGAAACACAAGCAUAUUCUAUUCAUAAACGUAUUGAAUGUAAAGUCAAGAUUGUAAAGACAAACAAUUUUUAUCUAAU